UGCAGUCGAGCGAUGGAUUGAGAGCUUGCUCUCAUGAAGUUAGCGGCGGACGGGUGAGUAACACGUGGGUAACCUGCCCAUAAGACUGGGAUAACUCCGGGAAACCGGGGCUAAUACCGGAUAACAUUUUGAACUGCAUGGUUCGAAAUUGAAAGGCGGCUUCGGCUGUCACUUAUGGAUGGACCCGCGUCGCAUUAGCUAGUUGGUGAGGUAACGGCUCACCAAGGCAACGAUGCGUAGCCGACCUGAGAGGGUGAUCGGCCACACUGGGACUGAGACACGGCCCAGACUCCUACGGGAGGCAGCAGUAGGGAAUCUUCCGCAAUGGACGAAAGUCUGACGGAGCAACGCCGCGUGAGUGAUGAAGGCUUUCGGGUCGUAAAACUCUGUUGUUAGGGAAGAACAAGUGCUAGUUGAAUAAGCUGGCACCUUGACGGUACCUAACCAGAAAGCCACGGCUAACUACGUGCCAGCAGCCGCGGUAAUACGUAGGUGGCAAGCGUUAUCCGGAAUUAUUGGGCGUAAAGCGCGCGCAGGUGGUUUCUUAAGUCUGAUGUGAAAGCCCACGGCUCAACCGUGGAGGGUCAUUGGAAACUGGGAGACUUGAGUGCAGAAGAGGAAAGUGGAAUUCCAUGUGUAGCGGUGAAAUGCGUAGAGAUAUGGAGGAACACCAGUGGCGAAGGCGACUUUCUGGUCUGUAACUGACACUGAGGCGCG
rnacentral:rRNA from 1 species